AAUAAAUAAAUAGAUUUAUGAGCGUCUUAUAUGGAGGACAAUUAAACUUAAAAUCACUAGUUAAAAAAGAAAGGGGGGAGGUUUAGUGUUUGGAGAUCGGGAUGCGUUGAAGGGGUACACACCUUCACGGAUGGACGAUAAAAAUGGACUGAGAGACUCUGAAUAAGAAGGUCUACACCCAACACCAUCAACACCACUUGGGGAGUCGACAUGUGGAAGAGUUUCAGUCUGAUACACUGAUGUGUUCAUAUGUCUUUGCUUGAGUACGUUGGGACCUCAGAUGUCUUUUCUUUUCUUUUCUUUUCUUUUUACGAGUUAGGGAAAUGGGUUUUAGGUUUGUUAUCGGGUCCGAUAGGUCGUCUAGCCCGCUAACGAACAUUAUUUUAAUUUGUUUAUUUUUGGGGUUCCAUAUGUAUUAGCUUAAGUCAGCUGCAUACAUAUUGAAUUUUUCUUUUAACGUUGGACUGGAGUUCCAUAAAGGAGGUUGCUUGUGGCAGGAGAACCGUGAGAGAAUUUUUCCUGUCCAAAUUGUUUGAUGGAAAUUUCAGGAAAGUUGGCUGCCUGACAGGUUUUUUCUCUCUCACACUCCAGACAAUGUCCAGUUGUUAAGCAAAUGUAAUGUGUUAUAUGUGUAGUCGCACUCAUGUUCAUCUUUUGUUUUUUGAGGCCCUGUAUAGCCACGAAGGGGGGAAUAUGAGGUGUAUAGACGAUCAACUACGAACAAAGACCGUUGUAUUAGUAGAUAUGGGGGAAUACAAUUAGACUAGACCCUAGGCAGCUCCACAGCAUGGAUAUUUGAUUUGUCAUUAACUGCGCAGGUCAGAACUCAACAUAUAGAGGUUACGAUGCUAUGUCUGAAUGUUGACCUUUCGGGUGAAAGGUCAAAAGGGGGAAUUGUGGAAUUAUUAGCCUUAGUAUUGUUCAUAUUACUUUUUAAGAUGUAUUA